rnacentral:misc_RNA from 1 species
CAAUGACUGGAUCCACCGACAGCACUGAAAUAUAGGUAAAAUAUAUUAUCAUUAUUGUUAUUAUUAUGUAAUUAAAUUUAAUUUAGUGUAUCAAAUUGAGCAAGCAAUUUGAUAGUAUUAUUAAACCAUGUUUAAACAUCCAAAUUACAUUAUGUUCCAUGCUUUCUUCUCUUCUGUUCUGUAUCAGCAGGCCCAUUAAGCUCCCACAGCACAAGCCAGUGUGAAUUUCACAGAUAUUUUUUGGCAAUCUCUUGGAGGCAAGAACAAAGCUCUUGUGGUUUGGAAAACAUGACCAUGUGAUCAGAAUCAGCAAUAACCUUUACCUCAUCAGUAGGACUGUUUUUGAUCAUCCACCUCUGUAGAUCCUCAUUUAUUAUCUUAUCUUGGUCACAUACAAUGUAAAUUCGAGGAACUGAUCCAUAUUUCUCUUUGGUGACUACUACUUUUUGUGUUCCUGCAUCACCACGGAGAGGUAAAGGUCUUAUCGACAGAGUAGCUAGAAUCAGAUCCUCAGUUGGGGAGAGCUGGUACAACUUGGCUUCCAUGAAUUUGGGUCCAAACAGUAUGGAGGUUGGAGGGUUAUUUGGUCCGUCAGCAAAAAUAUGUCGUGUGUCCAUGUAAGAAUCGACUUGUCUAGCAUACUCUUCAUUUAGAGUCGUGUGACUGAGUUCAGGGCCUGGCAUAAAAGCUGCAGCAAAGACUCCAGCAGAAAUUUUCUCAGGGAACUUUUCCAUGGCGACAGAUAAGCCAACACCACCCAAGCUGUGGCCAACUAGUACCACCCUCUCUUCUGGUGGCAGAGACGCCAUGAACUCCAUCAAGGGCUCAAAGUAGUCCAAGAACGAGCGGAGCUCAUGAACUUGCUUUGGGUGCACCCCAGAAGCAGCCAUGUCCAGAGCGGUAACACUAUGACCUGCUGAUUUCAAGAGGGCGGAAACUUUGUACCAGCACCAUGCUCCAUGACAGGCUCCAUGGACUAACACAAAAUGCCUGUGUCCUGCAUCACUCUGCAAUUGUUUUGAACAAGAUAAAUAUCUUUGGGAGUCAUCAGGCUUGUUGAAAAUGGCAACUCCCUCUGGGCCACGUAUGGUUGUCUUCAGGGAAAAAGGGAUGGACUUCGGAGAGAAAAGCAGAGAAUUGAAUAGCAUUUCCUGUUCUAAAAUUCAGCAAAUAUCUGAUGAUAGAAUGUGAUUCGGACCGCAGAGGAUGUCCUUAUCCUCUUUAGAACUUACAGGAAACUGAAGUGACCACAGAAUUGCCGGUG